rnacentral:lncRNA from 1 species
GAGGCAUUGGAUUGCUUUCUUUUCAAACAGGAGAAUGCAGGGGAAGAGCGGACUCCAAGUUUAUCAGAUCUAUUGAGAAAUGAAGAGCCAAAAUUUGGCAGACCAGCUCUGAGUGGACAAAACGAUGACAUUAAUUGUUCCUUUGGUCAACUUACAUAUCUUCAAAGAAAGGAAGAUGAAUGCCGGAUACGCAUGAUCUUUAACCUACCACUUCCACCUUGUUCUACUGAAGAAUCAAGAAUUGGUAGGGUAGCACAAGUUGGAGAUGAGGAUGUUGAUCGUGGCGUUACCUUGUUAGUCUAGUUAAAAUCUAGGAGCCCGGAUGCCUGAUGCCAAUUUAUUAGGAUUGGUUGAGAAC